rnacentral:tRNA from 1 species
UGCUCUAUAUUAUAAUUUUAGUAUACCUUAUUGCAGAUUGGGUGGUUUUGAGUAU